GCCGUCUAAAAUUUAACUAAAAUGCUAGAAUUUUGAAGAUUUCAGUAAUUUAGCAUGACUUAAUGGUGCUAGUACCCGAUAUAUGUGCAUUGCAUUGUCAAAAACAGCCCAUAUUUAUGUAGCAGAAGCAUUCUACUGUCCAAUGAAUAGCUAAAAGUUUGCAUUUUAACAAUUUUGUAAAACUGCUAUAUUUUGGGGCCAAAAAGGGGUCUUACUGGACCUACUCCAAAUUUAAAGCUUGUUCUGAUAUGCCAUACUAUUCCAUUUUUUAUACAUAUUGAUAGUUUAAUCAAUAUUUGAUUGGUUGACACUAUCCAACGUGUCAUUGAACAAAUCUUCAUAUUCCCCUCUGAGUAUCAUAUUCCUCUCUGAAAUGACGGGACGACCUUGUGCGACGUUACGCGCGGUUAAU
rnacentral:lncRNA from 1 species